UACGAAGGGGGCUAGCGUUGCUCGGAAUGACUGGGCGUAAAGGGCGCGUAGGCGGAUGGCUUUGUCGGGCGUGAAAUUCCAGGGCUUAACCUUGGGGCUGCGUUCGAGACGGGUUGUCUUGAGUUCGGAAGAGGGUCGUGGAAUUCCCAGUGUAGAGGUGAAAUUCGUAGAUAUUGGGAAGAACACCAGUGGCGAAGGCGGCUCACUGGUCCGGUUCUGACGCUGAGGCGCG
rnacentral:rRNA from 1 species